rnacentral:rRNA from 1 species
GACGAACGCUGGCGGCGUGCUUAACACAUGCAAGUCGAGCGGAAAGGCCACUUCGGUGGUACUCGAGCGGCGAACGGAUGAGUAACAUGUGAGUAAUCUGCCCCUGGCUUUGGGAUAGCCACCGGAAACGGUGAUUAAUACCGGAUACGACCACUUCUCGCAUGGGAUGGUGGUGGAAAGUUUUUUCGGCCAGGGAUGUGCUCGCGGCCUAUCAGCUUGAUGGUGAGGUAAUGGCUCACCAUGGCUUCGACGGGUAGCCGGCCUGAGAGGGUGACCGGUCACACUGGGACUGAGACACGGCCCAGACUCCUACGGGAGGCAGCAGUGGGGAAUAUUGGACAAUGGGCGGAAGCCUGAUCCAGCAACGCCGCGUGAGGGAUGACGGCCUUCGGGUUGUAAACCUCUUUCAGCAGGGACGAAGCGCAAGUGACGGUACCUGCAGAAGAAGCACCGGCCAACUACGUGCCAGCCGCCGCGGUAA